GGUUGUUCGUCCUGCGAGUUCCCUGGUUCCUUGCCUUAGCCUUUGGGCGAAAAUAAAGCGCUGUUCUCCCUAAACCGUCUGCGUCUGGGUCCUACCUGCGUGCCUGCACCCGCAACCGUAACAUGUCCAGCUUAAUCCUUCACGGACAAGGGUUGCCAUUCCGUGCGUCGACAGAUAGACCCAGCGAGGAGGAACCCAGGCAGCUUGAGGUUGUUGCCAGAAACCAGUGUGUCUCUUGCAGGAGGACUACUGCCACUUUAUUGGAAUCGGCGAGAUGCCUGAUGACUUCGAGUUUGGCGAUGCAGCUCGCGGAUUUCACUUUCUCUCCAGCGGAGGCGG
ensembl:lncRNA